ACUCCUACGGGAGGCAGCAGUAGGGAAUCUUCCGCAAUGGACGAAAGUCUGACGGAGCAACGCCGCGUGAGUGAAGAAGGUUUUCGGAUCGUAAAACUCUGUUGUAAGGGAAGAACAAGUACGUUAGUAACUGAACGUACCUUGACGGUACCUUACCAGAAAGCCACGGCUAACUACGUGCCAGCAGCCGCGGUAAUACGUAGGUGGCAAGCGUUAUCCGGGAAUUAUUGGGCGUAAAGCGCGCGUAGGCGGUCUCUUAAGUCUGAUGUGAAAGCCCCGGCUCAACCGGGGAGGGUCAUUGGAAACUGGGAGACUUGAGUGCAGAAGAGGAGAGUGGAACUCCAUGUGUAGCGGUGAAAUGCGCAGAGAUAUGGAGGAACACCAGUGGCGAAGGCGGCUCUCUGGUCUGUAACUGACGCUGAGGUGCGAAAGCGUGGGGAUCAAACA
rnacentral:rRNA from 1 species